rnacentral:rRNA from 1 species
AGCGUAGACGGAAUGGCAAGUCUGAUGUGAAAGGCAUGGGCUCAACCUGUGGACUGCAUUGGAAACUGUCAUACUUGAGUGCCGGAGGGGUAAGCGGAAUUCCUAGUGUAGCGGUGAAAUGCGUAGAUAUUAGGAGGAACACCAGUGGCGAAGGCGGCUUACUGGACGGUAACUGACGUUGAGGCUCGAAAGCGUGGGAGCAAACA